AUUUAUAUAGUUUAUUAAAACAUUACAUUUUCAUUGUAAAAAUAAAAUAAAUAUAUUUUUAUAAAUU
rnacentral:tRNA from 1 species